GUCCCUGUAGUGCAACGGAUAGCACACGUCGGACUUCUAAUCCUAAGGUCGUGGGUUCGAAUCCCACUUGGGAUG